ACCAGGUACCAGCUGCUGGUGGACGGGUACCAAGAAGAGAGUACCAUGGGGGACGUCCUUGUACGGCCCCACAACCUCAGUGGGAUGAAGUUCUCCACCCUGGACAGAGACAAUGAUCUCGCGUCAGGGUCCUGUGCUCAGAACCUCCAAGGUGGGUGGUGGUACAGGUGGUGCAGUAAUGUUCGUCCCACGACACCCCAUAGUGACAUGAGGACAUGGUACUGGACGCCAGGUGUCCUAGGCAGCAGCGGGGUGUAUCUCCAGCAGCUACAGCUGAUGACACGACCCCAGAACUUCCCAACUUCUCACCAGUGAUUGUUGUAUGGAGUGACCAGCCCCAGGGACCAGGUGGUAUCCCGUGACCAGCCCCAGGGACCAGG